CUUUGGACGAAUCCUCUGCCGAUAGAUAUUCGGUUAUGACGCGAGAGUAAUGAAAGUGAAGGUAAACGUGAACUCGAUGUCGAUGAGAAUCCGGGUCAAGCUCAAAAUCCGUACCGGUGUGUAGAUCGGAGCCAUUCACUUACAUGGUAGAAAACGCGUCGUCUCUCUUCGACCACCUCUAUCCUUCUCCGGUAAUCAAUAGCGCUUGGUUCCGCAACAAGUAGUACAUGUCGACCGUGCAUAACAAAAUAUCGACAAAAAUAUCAAAAACCUGACCUUAUGAUCUUUAUCAUAUUUUCCUUUUCUCAGAUUUUUCUGGGAUCUUUAAAAAUAAUUCAAGGAGAUCGAAUUCUCCCUCUCCCUCUCCCUCUCCUUCUCCCUCUCUCUCUCUCUCUCUCUCUAAUAAACAUCGAUAUUGCAUGUAUAUAUAAAAUUCAACAACAACAACAAAAAAGAAGAAAUUAUAAAUAAAUAAAGAAAAUAAAGAAAAUUAAAAAUAGAUCGAGUUUGUUAUCAGACACUUGACGAAAAUAAUAAAAAAAAAAAACAACGAUUGAAGUUGGGACGAGAUGAUAAAUUUUUUAGAUCUAUCAUCAAAGCGAUAAAUAUAAAUAUUUUGAAAUAAACAUGCAAGGAAGAAUAGAUAAUGCGAUAUAUCGAGUUUGUUGUACCAUAGAAUCAUGGAGUUGAACGUUGAAUCGCCUUAGAGAAUACGUCGAGGGAGAAUGUCGUCGUCGUCGACGUCGACGACAACGACGACGCUUGCGCGAGAAUAACGAGCGAUUUCAUUCUCGUUUCCGUAGCAGCCACCUCGAUAGAUGGCCUUCGUUCGAACAACGAUGGACUAGCAAAAGGAUAAGAAAAAUUAUUUCGGAGAGGAUUUUUUUGUUAUUGGAAGAUGAUCUUUUCAAAAUAUAAACUUCUACCUUCUUAUACGAUCUAUAUGGAAUGACGAUCCUUAAUAUCGUUCGAGGCGAUCGAUUAUUUUGAAAAAUAUGUUGUUACGUCAAAAUGAUCGAUUAAAUGCAUCGGUCUUAAUAAUCGCUUGUGUAUUUGUGGACAAAGAAGACGAGAAUGUGCUAUGAUGACUGGCACGAUAACAUUGAGACGAUAACGAUGACGAUGGCGAUGAUAACGAUGAUCGAUAUACGUUAGUAAUAACAUAAAACACAACACAUCGACUUUAUUCAACACAAAUACUUUGCAAGAGGGUUAUGUGAUAUAGACGUUUCGUAGAUGAUGAAUAAUAAUAUUAAUUCAAUAUUCAUAUUUAUAUAUACACGAAAUAAGGCACGUUCGAUAUUUAAUAUUUAUAUCCGCGUGACGUAGAUCGUAUCGAAGGAAGACGAGCUUCGUCGCAACGUUCAAAUAUGUUCUAUAUAUUUUCUUGUCUUUUUGUUAUAACUUUUUCAUCUAACGCGAUAUGCAACAUCCUUACCAAAUGUAAAAAAUGUCGUAUGUAUAAUAUAUAUACAUAUACAUAUACUUUAUGUAUAUAUAUAUAAUAUAUGUAUAUAUCUAUCUGUAUAUAAAUGUCUUUUGAAUUACACGCACAAUCAAUCCAUUUACAUGUCGGCCCUUUUGUUAUAUCUCGUACAAAAAGAAAUAACUCUACUUUUUAUUCCUUUUUUAUUUUAAAAUUAUUUAAAACCUUUCGACCGAUUGAAGUCGCACUUUAUCGAUGAAAAUGGUCCGUGCGACUUUACGGAUUAUUCUCCUUUUUUUUUCCUCCUCCUCUCUUUUAUUUUUCCUUUCUUUAUUUUUCUUUUUUUUUUUCCUUUUUCUUCUUUUUUUCUUUUUCUCGGAUGAAGCGAAUGAAAAAGUUUUCGUCACGACUACCAUGGAGAAAUUACUAAUUACUUAGAUAUAAUUAAGCACUCGCCAAAAAUCGGACGAACACGGGCGAUACUCGCGCACUCUUUCUCUUUCUUUCUUUCACUCUUUUUUUUUUUCUUUUCUUUCCGUUCUUUUUUUUUCCCUUAACAUCCUCUUAAGUCAUUAUUCUUAUAAAUGCAUUUACUUGACCCCUUUUCUUCAGUUCAUUUUUUCACACGCACUCAUACACCCACAAUAAUAAUACGCAUACAUACUUCGUAUCGCUAAGUAUUACGACCGAUAAUCCUCGAAAUCGUAAAUACGAUCCUUCUCUCGAAAGUUAUCCUCGAUGAAUCUUAAAAUAUUGUCUCUUGAACGACAUACGGAGUUAUAAUUUACGAUAGUUAAUGAACAUUUGUUGGAUGUGUAGUAUAAAGGUUUAAACGCUCGUUAUUGUUUUUUUAAAUUAUAUAAAAAUCGAUAUGUAAGAACGAUAUCGUUUCUACCCAAUUCUGACGAAUGAAAACGAGAUCGCGGGAUAUGUAAUUGGUUCGUAGUUGAUUCUAAACGUAUGAUUUCUUGUUGUUUAGAUGAAAAAAUUUUAUACACGCAUACAAUAAAAAAAAAAGAAAAAAAAAAGAAAAAAAAAAGAAAGAGAAAACGA